rnacentral:rRNA from 1 species
CCUACGGGAGGCAGCAGUGGGGAAUAUUGCACAAUGGGGGAAACCCUGAUGCAGCGACGCCGCGUGAGUGAGGAAGUAUUUCGGUAUGUAAAGCUCUAUCAGCAGGGAAGAAAAUGACGGUACCUGACUAAGAAGCCCCGGCUAACUACGUGCCAGCAGCCGCGGUAAUACGUAGGGGGCAAGCGUUAUCCGGAUUUACUGGGUGUAAAGGGAGCGUAGAUGGUUAAUCAAGUCAGAAGUGAAAACCCAGGGCCCAACCCCGGGACUGCCCUUGGAACUGUGCGGCUAGAGUGCGGGAGGGGCAGGCGGAAUUCCUGGUGUAGCGGUGAAAUGCGUAGAUAUCAGGAGGAACACCGGCGGCGAAGGCGGCCUGCUGGACUGCGACUGACGUUGAGGCUCGAAAGCGUGGGGAGCGAACAGGAUUAGAUACCCUGGUAGUC